rnacentral:rRNA from 1 species
UACGUAGGGUGCGAGCGUUAAUCGGAAUUACUGGGCGUAAAGCGCACGUAGGCGGCUCUUUAAGUCGGGGGUGAAAUCCUGGAGCUCAACUCCAGAACUGCCUUCGAUACUGUAGAGCUUGAGUUCGGGAGAGGUGAGUGGAACUGCGAGUGUAGAGGUGAAAUUCGUAGAUAUUCGCAAGAACACCAGUGGCGAAGGCGGCUCACUGGCCCGAUACUGACGCUGAGACGCGAAAGCGUGGGGAGCAAACAGG